rnacentral:rRNA from 1 species
CCUACGGGCGGCUGCAGUGGGGAAUAUUGGACAAUGGGCGCAAGCCUGAUCCAGCAAUGCCGCGUGUGUGAAGAAGGCCUUCGGGUUGUAAAGCACUUUAAGCAGGGAAGAAAACCCUUCAUUGAAUAGAUGGAGGUUUGACGGUACCUGAAGAAUAAGCACCGGCUAACUCUGUGCCAGCAGCCGCGGUAAUACAGAGGGUGCAAGCGUUAAUCGGAUUUACUGGGCGUAAAGCGUGUGUAGGUGGUUUACCAAAUCGGUUGUGAAAUCCCUGGGCUUAACCUGGGAACUGCUUCCGAGACUGUUGGACUAGAGUACGGUAGAGGGCGGUGGAAUUUCCGGUGUAGCGGUGAAAUGCGUAGAUAUCGGAAGGAACACCAAUGGCGAAGGCAGCCGCCUGGGCCUGUACUGACACUGAGACACGAAAGCGUGGGGAUCAA